GACGAACGCUGGCGGCGUGCUUAACACAUGCAAGUCGAACGCUGAAGCUCAGCUUGCUGGGUGGAUGAGUGGCGAACGGGUGAGUAACACGUGAGUAACCUGCCCCCUUCUUUGGGAUAACGCCCGGAAACGGGUGCUAAUACUGGAUAUUCACUGAUCUUCGCAUGGGGGUUGGUGGAAAGGUUUUUUCUGGUGGGGGAUGGGCUCGCGGCCUAUCAGCUUGUUGGUGGGGUGAUGGCCUACCAAGGCUUUGACGGGUAGCCGGCCUGAGAGGGUGACCGGUAACAUUGGGACUGAGAUACGGCCCAGACUCCUACGGGAGGCAGCAGUGGGGAAUAUUGCACAAUGGGCGAAAGCCUGAUGCAGCGACGCCGCGUGAGGGAUGGAGGCCUUCGGGUUGUAAACCUCUUUCGCUAAUGGUCAAGCCGCAACAUUGGUUGUGGUGAGGGUAGUGGGUAAAGAAGCGCCGGCUAACUACGUG
rnacentral:rRNA from 1 species